rnacentral:snRNA from 1 species
GGAUGUGAGGGCGAUCUGGCUGCGACAUCUGUCACCCCAUUGAUCGCCAGGGUUGAUUCGGCUGAUCUGGCUGGCUAGGCGGGUGUCCACUUCCUCCCUCACUGCUCCAUGUGCGUCCCUCCCGAAGCUGCGCGCUCGGUGGAAGAGAACGACCAUCCCCGAUAGAGGAGGACCGUUCUUCGGUCAAGGGUAUACGAGUAGCUGCGCUCCCCUGCUAGAACCUCCAAACAAGCUCUCAAGAAAAUGUGGUAUCUAUACACAAUGGAAUUUUAUGCAUGAAGAAGAAUGAAAUGUUAUCAUUCACAGGUAAAU